rnacentral:rRNA from 1 species
UACGAAGGUCCCAAGCGUUAUCCGGAUUUAUUGGGUUUAAAGGGUGCGUAGGCGGGUUAUUAAGUCAGUGGUGAAAGCCUUCAGCUUAACUGAAGAACUGCCAUUGAUACUGAUGAUCUUGAGUACGAUUGAGGUAGGCGGAAUGUGUCAUGUAGCGGUGAAAUGCUUAGAUAUGACACAGAACACCGAUUGCGAAGGCAGCUUACUAAGUCGUAACUGACGCUGAUGCACGAAAGCGUGGGGAGCAAAC